GCCAGGAUGCGUAACUGCCAGUAUUUUCCAAUUACGUAGCAACGUAGACCAUGGCUGAAACAGUCUGUUCAAAUUUUUUAAGUGAGGUCAAUUGUUGAUUUCAAUGCCAUUGCUUGAAGACCAGAACUUAUUGGAUGAACUUGAUUUAAUUCAUGUCUAAAUAUUUUCCAUGGAACCAAAGUACUGAAAAAUAAAGGAUAAUUAAAUAUAACUAAAAAAAUUGCAAGUACUUGAAUACUAUUUUCAAAAUCUAUAAUAAUUAUAGACUAGACGUGGGUACGAAUUUCAGUGUUAGCCGAAAAAUCGAUUCUCUGAGA